ACGUAGGGUGCGAGCGUUGUCCGGAAUUAUUGGGCGUAAAGGGCUCGUAGGCGGUCUGUUGCGUCAGGAGUGAAAACUCGGGGCUUAACCCCGAGCCUGCUUCUGAUACGGGCAGACUAGAGGUAUGCAGGGGAGAACGGAAUUCCUGGUGUAGCGGUGAAAUGCGCAGAUAUCAGGAGGAACACCGGUGGCGAAGGCGGUUCUCUGGGACGGUACCGACGCUGAGACGCGAAAGCGUGGGGAGCGAACAGGA
rnacentral:rRNA from 1 species